CCUACGGGUGGCAGCAGUGAGGAAUAUUGGUCAAUGGACGAGAGUCUGAACCAGCCAAGUAGCGUGAAGGAUGACUGCCCUAUGGGUUGUAAACUUCUUUUAUAUGGGAAUAAAAUGUUCCACGUGUGGGAUUUUGUAUGUACAUAUGCAUAAGGAUCGGCUAACUCCGUGCCAGCAGCCGCGGUAAUACGGAGGAUCCGAGCGUUAUCCGGAUUUAUGGGGUUUAAAGGGGGCGUAGGUGGAAUGUUAAGUCAGAUGUGAAAGUUUCCGGCUCAACCGUUAAAGUGCCGUUGAAACUGGCAGUCUUGAGUACAGUAGAGGUGGGCGGAAUUCGUGGUGUAGCGGUGAAAUGCUUAGAUAUCACGAAGAACUCCGAUUGCGAAGGCAGUUCACGGGACUGCAACUGACGCUGAGGCUCGAAAGUGUGGGUAUCAAACAGGAUUAGAUACCCGAGUAGUC
rnacentral:rRNA from 1 species